rnacentral:rRNA from 1 species
GUUGACCUCGGAUCAGGUAGGAAUACCCGCUGAACUUAAGCAUAUCAAUAAGCGGAGGAAAAGAAACCAACAGGGAUUGCCCCAGUAACGGCGAGUGAAGCGGCAACAGCUCAAAUUUGAAAUCUGGCCCCAGGCCCGAGUUGUAAUUUGCAGAGGAUGCUUUUGGCGCGGUGCCUUCCGAGUUCCCUGGAACGGGACGCCAUAGAGGGUGAGAGCCCCGUACGGUUGGACACCAAGCCUUUGUAAAGCUCCUUCGACGAGUCGAGUAGUUUGGGAAUGCUGCUCUAAAUGGGAGGUACAUUUCUUCUAAAGCUAAAUAUUGGCCAGAGACCGAUAGCGCACAAGUAGAGUGAUCGAAAGAUGAAAAGCACUUUGAAAAGAGGGUUAAACAGCACGUGAAAUUGUUAAAAGGGAAGCGCUUGUGACCAGACUUGCGUCCGGUGAAUCACCCAGCUCUCGCGGCUGGGGCACUUCGCCGGCACAGGCCAGCAUCAGCUUGCCGUCGGGGACAAAAGCUUCAGGAACGUAGCUCCUCUCGGGGAGUGUUAUAGCCUGUUGUAUAAUACCCUUCGGCGGGCUGAGGUACGCGCUCCGCAAGGAUGCUGGCGUAAUGGUCAUCAGCGACCCGUCUUGAAACACGGACCAAGGAGUCAACCUUAUGUGCGAGUGUUUGGGUGUUAAACCCCUACGCGUAAUGAAAGUGAACGCAGGUGAGAGCUUCGGCGCAUCAUCGACCGAUCCUGAUGUUCUCGGAUGGAUUUGAGUAAGAGCAUAUAGGGUUGGACCCGAAAGAAGGUGAACUAUGCGUGUGUAGGGUGAAGCCAGAGGAAACUCUGGUGGAGGCUCGCAGCGGUUCUGACGUGCAAAUCGAUCGUCAAACAUGCGCAUGGGGGCGAAAGACUAAUCGAACCU